UAAAAUCAACAGCACAAAUCUAAAAAAGAUAGUCAAAAUUCUAGCCAAUCUAGUUUUGGCUGUAACGAAAGAAACCAAUUCAGUUUUCACCUGUUCCUUAGUGCUGACAACACCAGCACACAUUGCUAUAGCAGCGAAAGAACCGUCAUGACACUUUAACUUCCGCCAACUUACUUAUCAGCACUUCAACUCAGUUCUCGGAAAGUGUUAGUCUCAAAGUUCUCACAGAGUGUGAAAAUCACCUUCAGAUCGUAGAAAAACGGUCAAAAUCCUUAUAAGGUAGAAUCGUGAUUGAAAGCAGACACUCCAUUACACGUGAGAAAGUGGAAUUACUACUGAGUACUUUAACGAAACGGUAGCGAAUCCAGUCAUUUGGCAUUAUAUUUGGCAGAAUACCAGAUAACAGUUGAAUCACUGCACUGCAACUUGCUGCACGACAACGUGGAAGUCAUCACGAACGGUUUAUCAUCAUAAGGAAGGGUUCUCUCAGAGGUAAAUGUUCAGCAAUGACAUCAUAUGAUAUAGUUAAAUAAGCAAAUCGACAUGCCCUAACGCUAAGUCUUGAUGUUUACAUCAGGGCCCUUUAAAAACCGAUUUCCGAAGCAUCGUUCGUGUCACGUGGCGACGACAUCAUACGGCGACUCCUACACCUCAUCGUGUUUAGGGAGUGGAUGAAUCAUCGCUUGCACGAAUAUUCGUGAAACUACAUUCAACCGAGCAGCCAGCGGCGGAGUGCAUUGGUGUGAAUAUCCUCAGUUUCAAGGGAAGGUCAGACGACUACCUGCAUCAGCUUGUAUUGGUGAGAUCAGGGAUUAGCGAAUAGUGAUCAUCACGUCGGCACCUGAGUCAGUUUCCGUCGGUGCUCGGGAAAGCAGCCAUCGGUAGCGGGCGUGUCGCUAAAUCGUUGCCGCUCAGUUGGAUACGCGUCGGUGUGCACAGGUGACAAUCGCUCGAGGAACCGAAGCGAGUGCGGUGAGUUAUUGGGGGAAGCAUUGCAUUGGAGGAAGCAGAAUAGAGGGAAGAAUCUCGAAAUUCUUAUCUGCAUGAAAAGCGAGGUG